AUUGUUUAGUAGGCACUACCUUGACAUAUUUCCGUAUCGUCUCUGUUAAUUCCAGACUUUCAAUAAUUUUCGUGCAAGGAUCAACAAAACCUUUCUCUCAAAUUAAAGAAGAAUCCUUCAUCAUUCUGGGGCAGGAUGUUCAUCGUACAAGAUUCAACGAGGACUUAAAAUCAUCAUUUUAAUCAGGUUUAUCUACUACGAUUUCAACAAAUAACAAUUUAUUUCGAUGUUUACUUCGAUGUUUACUUCGAUGUCUACUAAUUCCGACCUAUUACACGCACGAGUGUUUUGGAGCCAUCGCAGAACUUCUUAAGUAACGUCCAGGACGUUUGUCUUCGAAGGACACUCUCAAACCGGACGUUGCAGUGACUUUCCUGUCCCAGUGGAUGCGUUCGGAGGACUUCGUUAUCCUUUCCUUACCCAGAAAGCCAUCGUACCGUAAUACGAAAACGGACGGACGCUGCGAAAAGAGUGUAGAUGGAAAGAAGAUAGGAUAAAAAAAAAAAAACUAAACAAAAAUAGUAAAACUAAAAAAAAAAAACAAAAAGAAACUAUAAAGAUAAUAAAAAAAAAGGAAGAAAAAGAAGAAAAAAAAAGAUACGAGAAAAUACGGGAAGGUAGGAAGGAAGGAAGGAAGGAAGGAAGGAAGGAAGGAAGGAAGAAAAGAAAGAAAAGGAGGGACGAGCGCGUCCUCCAAACCACGUAAUUUGCCCUGCCAACCAAGAAUUUCUCGCGAAACUUUUGACUCUGUUUCCUCUACUUCUACUUUUCUCCACAAAAUAUUCUUCAAAACGCGAUGGCAAAGGAGAAAAUCGACUUUAUAACAGGGAGCCAACACGAAGCACCUUUCAUUUCCUGUCUUUCCACACGGACGAAUUGUCUUACAGAUGGACGUCAUCAUUUCAACCCUGGCUUUAAGCUCGUGCGAUCUAAAAUGAUUUCUUCUAUAAAUUCGAACGUAAUCAUUCAGAACGGAACAGAAAGAGGAUACUUAUCUCAAAAAGGAGCAUCUGAAAUAUUCGCGCAUUGAAGGAAAACUUGGAUGUGUACAGACGUCCACGUGCAGUAUACUCGGCUGCUUUUCUUGCUGCCUCUCGAACGUCUCUUCUUGAAGUUUUUACGGCCAAUGCUCUUGGAAAGGACGCUAUAUUCAUGAGACUUUGUCCAACUCACUGGGGAAUCGUUUCGUUGGCUGAAGAUGAAUAAAUAGAUAAUUAAAAGAUAGAAAAAAGACUGCAUACUCUCAAAAUUAGUCGAAAAAUUAAUUCGAAUAAAAAAUCAAGCUAAAUUAUAUUUGAAAUCUCGAUGUUUCUUCGAAAAGCGAUUAUAUUGAUAGGUCGUAGCUUAUGAAAAUUGUUCAUCUAAUAGUAAAGAAUACUGCUAUUGUAUUACUUCUACGGAAACGAAAAAUAAAAUAUAUAUAAA